rnacentral:rRNA from 1 species
AUUGAACGCUGGCGGCAGGCCUAACACAUGCAAGUCGAACGAGUGGCGGACGGGUGAGUAAUGUCUGGAAAACUGCCUGAGGGAGGGGGAUAACUACUGGAAACGGUCGCUAAUACCGCAAAACAUCAGAUGUGCCCAGAUGGGAUUAGCUUGUUGGUGGGGUAACGGCUCACCAAGGCGACGAGCCCUAGCUGGUCUGAGAGGAUGACCAGCCACACUGGAACUGAGACACGGUCCAGACUCCUACGGUAGGCAGCAGUGGGGAAUAUUGCACAAGGGGCGCAAGCCUGAUGCAGCCAUGCCGCGUGUAUGAAGAAGGCCUUCGGGUUGUAAAGUACUUUCAGCGGGGAGGCGUUACCCGCAGAAGAAGCACCGGCUAACUCCGUGCCAGCAGCCGCGGUAAUUC